UUUAACCACUGAGUCACAUUCCCUUUUUAUAUUUUAUUUAGAGACAGGGCCUCACUAAGUUGCUGAAGCUGGUUUUUAACUCGCGAUCCUCCUGCCUCAGCCUCCUGAGCCACUGGGAUUACAGGCAUGUGCCACUGUGCCCAGCUACUGUUAAGUUUUAAACACAAUUGAAUGGGUUAUUGGAAAGUUUAAAUACAAACAAACACUAUUAAAAAUUGAAUUUGGGUAAAAUUGACAUUGAUAGUUUCAUUUUAGAACCAUGUAAAAUAGAAAGUAUAUCUUGCAUUUCAUGUUUAGUAUUUAGGUAUGUAAGUUUAACAUGUAAGUAUAUAAGUUAACUUUGUGUAAGGAUUAAAUUAUUAGUAUGGAUACUAAGGAAAAACCUCAAGAGACUCUUUAGUUUCACUUGCUCUUAAUGGAUUUCAAAAUCACUAACUUUAGAGGUCACACAGCUGGGCAAUACAUUGUGAGUCUACCACUAACUUUGCUAUAGAUAGCACCUUUGACGUGUGGGUUAAAAUGAUAACAAUUGCCUGGGUUAUCUUCAGGGACCUGAAGGCCAAUUUUGCUGAAAACACUGACCCCUCCACUUGCGCCUGUAGAUAGAUGACCAAUGGGUGACUGGAACAGGAGGAAGAGGCUUGGCAUCUCUGUUUUCUAUUGUGCCUAUCUUCUUUGCUGCCUUAACCUUUGAGUCAGAUGCUCCUCAGCUCUGCAUAUGGACAUGAGGAACAUCUGAGAAAUAUUUUUUCCAAAAUAAUAAUCUAGGAUUAACUUGAUCUAGACUCACCCGGUCUCCUCCUGCUUCAAAGCUAAAGACACCAACCUGUUGCCAUGACUGGAAACACCAGACUACCAAAGGAGUUUGAAAAGAGGAGGCACCCAAAUUCCCAGAAAGAACAUGAAUGUGCCUUCCCUUUAAUAGCCUAUCUUCCUCAUUAUCCUUAUCCUAUAUCUCUAACUCCUCAACUUUUUUUUUUUUUUGGUGGGGGGAGUAUCCAGCCCUAUUUUGUCUAAUGCAAUUUAGAGACAGGGUCUCACUGAGUUGCUUAGCAAUUUGCUUUUGCAGAGGCUGGCUUUGAACUCAUGAUCCUCCUGCCUCAGCCUCCUGAGCUGCUGAGAUUACAGGUGUGCACCACAGCUACUCCUCAACUUCUUGGAGUUGAGAAAUUGAUCUGCAAGCAGAACUCCUACUUCUCCAUUCUUUGGUCACUGAAUAAACUUGUGCUGUCAAUACUCAGCAUUUGGUUUUGGUUUUUGUUUUUCAAAACUUGACUCGAAAAAUAAUCCUGCUGUAGGUAACAGCAUAUACCCUAUAAGUAUGUAAAUUAGCUUCAGAAGUUUUAAACCAUGGGCCCCUUGGUAGGAACCAUAGGUCCUGGUUUGCUUGGAACUGUUCCA
rnacentral:lncRNA from 1 species